UACGUAGGGUGCGAGCGUUAAUCGGAAUUACUGGGCGUAAAGGGCGCGUAGGCGGUUAUAUGAGUGUGAUGUGAAAGCCCCGGGCUUAACCUGGGAAGUGCAUCGCAAACGAUAUGACUGGAGUAUAUGAGAGGGUGGCGGAAUUUCCGGUGUAGCGGUGAAAUGCGUAGAGAUCGGAAGGAACGUCGAUGGCGAAGGCAGCCACCUGGCAUAAUACUGACGCUGAGGCGCGAAAGCGUGGGGAGCGAACAGG
rnacentral:rRNA from 1 species